GUAGAAGAUGCUUCGGGUGUGGUUCCGGUCUAAGUUCCUUGGAACAGGACGUCAUAGAGGGUGAGAAUCCCGUAUGUGACUGGAUACCUAUGCUCAUGUGAAGCUCUUUCGACGAGUCGAGUUGUUUGGGAAUGCAGCUCAAAAUGGGAGGUAUAUUUCUUCUAAAGCUAAAUAUUGGCCAGAGACCGAUAGCGCACAAGUAGAGUGAUCGAAAGAUGAAAAGCACUUUGGAAAGAGAGUUAAACAGUACGUGAAAUUGUUGAAAGGGAAGCGCUUGCAAUCAGACUUGCACUUGGUGUUCAUCAGGGUCUCGUACCCUGUGUACUUCAUCAAGUUCAGGCCAGCAUCAGUUUGAGUGGUUAGAUAAAGGCUUAGAGAAUGUGGCCCUCUUCGGGGGGUGUUAUAGCUCUAGGUGCAAUGUAGCCUACUUGGACUGAGGACCGCGCUUCGGCUAGGAUGCUGGCGUAAUGGUUGUAAGCGACCCGUCUUGAAACACGGAC
rnacentral:rRNA from 1 species